GUACACGCUGUGACUAGCAUAUCAAUAAGCGGAGGAAAAGAAACUAACAAGGAUUCCCCUAGUAACGGCGAGUGAAGCGGGAAGAGCUCAAAUUUGAAAUCUUAAAGGGUUUCCCUUUACGAAUUGUAGUUUAAAGAAGUGUUUUCUGUUGAGGUUUUGGUAAAAGUUCUUUGGAAUAGGACAUCAUAGAGGGUGAGAAUCCCGUAUUUGACCUUUACUUUCAACUUUGUGAUACACUUUCAAAGAGUCGGAUUGUUUGGGAAUGCAGUCCAAAAUGGGUGGUAAAUUUCAUCUAAAGCUAAAUAUUGGCGAGAGACCGAUAGCGAACAAGUACCGUGAGGGAAAGAUGAAAAGAACUUUGAAAAGAGAGUUAGACAGUACGUGAAAUUGUCAAAAGGGAAGCGUUUGACACCAGUGUUGUUUUUCUGAAAAUCAAUUAAAGAACUGUUUAUGCUAAGCUGUUUAGACUUUAUCAGCAAUCUGUUUAGUUUUAGGCUUUUCUUUAAUGCACUUUUCAGUUAACAAGUCAACAUCAAUUUCUUUUGCUGUAAAAAAGCUUGAGGAAGGUGGCUUGAGAUUCGUCUUAAGUGUUUAUAGCCUCUUGCCUAUGCAGUCGGAGAGAUUGAGGUCUGCAGCGUAGAUCCUUCGGGGCUAAAUGCAUUUGUGCUAAGUUAUAGCAUUUUAUAGACAACUUGUUGACUAUGAUUUGUCUUGUAGCUUACUCGCUUAUGUUAUUUUACCUACGCUUAGGAUGUUGAUAUGCAUGACUGAUAU
rnacentral:rRNA from 1 species